rnacentral:rRNA from 1 species
CUUGAAACACGGACCAAGGAGUUUAUCGUGUACGCAAGUCAUUGGGUGAAUAAAACCCAAAGGCGAAAUGAAAGUAAAGAGUUGAGUUUAUAAUAAAAGAAUUUAUUUUUUUAUUAUUUCUCUCUUUAGGGAAGAUGAAAAUUUAAUUAAUAAUAUAUUUUAUAUAUUUUUAAUAUAAAUUUUUCGCACUCCCAGGGCGCUUGUUUCACGCUUUGCGUGUCAAUGCGCACCUAGAGCGUACACGCUGAUACCCGAAAGAUGGUGAACUAUGCCUGGCCAGGACGAAGCCAGGGGAAACCCUGGUGGAGGUCCGCAGCGAUUCUGACGUGCAAAUCGAUCGUCGGAGCUGGGUAUAGGGGCGAAAGACCAAUCGAACCAUCUAGUAGCUGGUUCCCUCUGAAGUUUCCCUCAGGAUA